AGGACGAACGCUGGCGGCGUGCUUAACACAUGCAAGUCGAGCGGUGAUCCUCCUUCGGGAGGUGAUCAGCGGCGAACGGGUGAGUAACACGUGGGCAACCUGCCCCUCACACUGGGAUAACCUCGGGAAACCGGGCUAAUACCGGAUACGACCUCGAGCGGCAUCUCUUGAGGUGGAAAGCUCCGACGGUGAGGGAUGGGCCCGCAGCCUAUCAGCUUGUUGGUGGGGUAAUGGCCUACCAAGGCGACGACGGGUA
rnacentral:rRNA from 1 species